rnacentral:tRNA from 1 species
GGGGGUAUAGCCAAAUGGUAAGGCAAGGGUCUGCAAAGCCCUCACUUUUGGUUCGAAUCCAGAUACCCCCUCCA